AAGAAGAACUGCAUGUCUGCAUUGAAUGAGAAAGAAGAUCAAAUAUCUAUCAAUGAAGGUUUGGCUCCAGAACUAGAAAACUUGACUGAUAGGGUUGAACAUAUCAAAUUCGACCUGAACUAUAUAUUUGAAUGAAGAGAUUCUUUUUCGGCAAUGGAGGAGGGAAACAUAAUAUGAUCUGCAAAGAAGAAAGCUGUCGAUCAAGCUAUAGAAGAAAAAGGCAAGGUUAAAAAUGUGCAGACUAUUUCAUUAUAUUAUCAUAGUAGAUAUUUAUUCACCAGCCUUUGUCACUGUUAUUUCUUGUAUAUUUUUUGAUAGGCUAUUGUCACAGUUGAUAUUUCUUUGCAUUUACUCUUCUUGUAAAUACUCUACAACUUAGUUAGGUAGAUUUGGAUAAUUUGAACUUGUAGAAAGCUUUUGUAAUAAUGCUUAUAUAUUGUUAUUGAGAAAUAAUGUUGAAUUUUGAAAUUGGUUCAAUAUAUAAGAAUUUUGGAUGCU